UACGAUAGCUUCUACACGUGGUCUUCGACAUUGACGACAGCACUGCAGAAGUUCCGAGAUCUUACUUUCUUCACAGCGCAGCUUUACUGGUGGUCUGAAGCCUUUCUUUAUUGUGGAGGUCACCUCAAACCUGCCGCUUGUGCCACCUCUGUCUGAAAGCAAUGCUGUGGAGAUACUCCUUUCUCCAGCAGCUCCAAACCUGCUCUGUGAGAUAUUGCACCUGUCGCCAUCUUUUGCGUCCAUAGAGGUCUUCCUUGAUGAACAUCCCUGCUGGAGUAGACUUCAUGGUGAUAAGAUGAUUAGGAGUGAGCGGUUCCAGGUUGGUUGGAUCGUUUAAGUUAUCCACUGUCAAAGGGCGACUGUUAACUAUUGACAUUGCUUCAUACAGUAACGUCCCUAGGGAAGAAUCACUGAGUCUAUAGGAAGGGAGUGAAAGAGUGAGACUGAGGACAUUUCUUAUGGUCUUAAUCUGUCGUUCCCACACUCCACCAGUGUGACUUGCAUGGGGUGCAUUUAAGACAAAGUCACAUUGCAUUGAGACCCGAAAGGUUUUUAGUCUUUUUGCAUCUAGCUCCUGAAGAGCUGUGUUAAGUUCAUUUUUGGCUCAUAAAACAGUCCCUAAAGUAAACAGUGGAGCCCAGUAGAACUCAAUAAAGCUGUUCUUCUGGGUGUCGUACUUCCGGGAACUGCUACAAAGCACGAUGGGAGAUGUGGUAUUCUAUCGUAAAAAAUAUAAAUAACGUCUGUGUCCUUAUGUAUAACGCAUUACCUUUGGGGUGGAUUUCUGUGCUUUCACGUCCUUCUGAGACGUUGUACUUUGUGAGUUUAAUGAUUUUCAGCACCGUCAGUCAUCAGGGAUCACGUGUGAAAGGGGCUCCCGAGCGCGGGUUCAGCAACUCAUACUUACCUGGCAGGAGCUGCCCUAUACAUGCUCAUAUCUGCUGGAUCCUGGAUCCCACAUCACUUAAGCGAACUUGGCUCAUCCAGCUUGUUGGAGAGAGAGCGGACAUUUCCUAUAGUAACAUAUGCCACCCUGGCGAUGCCGGGCAGGUCGAUGAGUGUCAGGUUGGGAACAGAGACGCGAUCUCCAGACUGAUCAGGUCGUCGCUGAUGCCCACACCCACCACAGCCAUUUCAUCCCGAUGUGGGACUCCAUGUCGCCUUUGCAAUUGAAGCCCCUGCAUUAGUACGGCUUCUCCCAUGUGUGGAUCCUGAUGUGCUCCUUCAAAUGGCUCGACUUUUUGAACCUCUUGGUGCAGAUGGGACAGGGAGACCAUGACUUGGACCAGGUUGGGGCUAUUGUGAGAGUGCAUCCUACAGUAUGUAGGCAACCGGUUCAGGGUGUACCCUGCCUCCCGCCCUCAGCCUUCUUGGAUAGGCUCCAGCCCCCCUGCGACCCCGCACGGGAUUCAGCAGUAGAAAAUGGACGGAUGGAUGGAUGAAUGACUUCUAACUUCCCUUCAGCUCAUUAGCUGAGAUUACACACAGUGGUUUACAAUAUCGAUGCACUGAGCUAAAGCCUGCUGCUGUGUUGCCCACAUCAGAUUUGCACUUGUUGCUAUCUGCCACCGUAAUGGCGGACCAGCUAAAAAAUGUACGGACCAAAAGAGACCCGCAUCACUGGAUGUAAACUUCUUUAUUAUCACUCUCGAUCCAAACAUGAGUUAAAUGAGUUAACGUGAAUGGUGAUCAGGAGAAUCAUAUAAGUUAGUGUCUUCAGCUUUUCCCAUCAGGGGUUGCCACAGCAAAUCAUCCUUUUCCAUCUAUCUCUAUCCUGGGCAUCUUGUACUUUCACACCAGCCAACCUCAUGUCCUCUGUUAGCACAUUCAUGUAUCUCCUCCUCUGUCGUUCUUUUGCCCUCUUCUAUGACUCUGAAAUUUAUUUUAAAAAUUCCUUUCUGGUUGGCCAGUAGUAACAUCUUAUUCUCCAUUAAAGGAGUCAUAUCAUGCUUUUCAUUCUAAAAAAUAUUAGACUUUAAUGUCUCAGUAAGGUCUCUGUAAAUUUUCAUCCCAUAAAACCCUGUAGAUCGUCCACACUGCCCCUGUCAAUGUGUGGUUUUCACUCCCCAUCAGCAAACGCUGUGUUUUCUGGGCGUGUCGCAAGCGAAGCUGCUCGCCACACCUCUGUGCGGAAGCGCAUACCUUUUUUGUUGUUGUUUUUUUUUUUUAAUUGGCUCCAUGGAUACGAGCCACCGCACGGUUACGAUACAAUAGGUGGCAGUAGUGCGACAUUGAGAAUGCAAUCCACCGCAAUCCUCCAAAGAAGAAGAAGACCCACUACAGGACUGCACGACAUUAGUCAGCUGGUUCUUAGCGUAGUAGAACCAUACGUCUACGAUCCCGAAUCUGACCCUGAAGCUGAAGAGGAGGCUGUUGAAGUCGCCACAUUUCGGCUGAUGCAAGAUGUGUCUCAUUGUUGUUACAGGUAUCUAGUCUACAGAGGCUAGUGAGCUGGUGCUGAGGAUUCCUGGGGUGAAGAAUCUGAGUUGCCAUCUCUUCAUGCUUCUUCAUGCUUGGGUUGUAGAUGAAGGCAGUUUCCUGAUGGAUAAAACACUAAAACACUCAUAGUAUGAUUGAUGUAGACCACCUGUAGAAUAACUCCUUUACCGUUUGAGUAAAAAUUUGUUUUUUGAGAGUGCAACACUCAUUAAGAAUUUUUUAAACUUUAUU